AUUGAACGCUGGCGGCAGGCCUAACACAUGCAAGUCGAACGAGCGGCGGACGGGUGAGUAAUGUCUGGGAAACUGCCAGAUGGCGGGGGAUAACUACUGGAAAAGGUAGCUCAUACCGCAUACCAUCAGAUGUGCCCAGAUGGGAUUAGCUAGUAGGUGGGGUAACGGCUCACCUAGGCGACGAUCCCUAGCUGGUCUGAGAGGCUGACCAGCCACACGUGAACUGAGACACGGUCCAGACUCCUACGGGAGGCAGCAGUGGGGAAUAUUGCACAAUGGGCGCAAGCCUGAUGCAGCCAUGCCGCGUGUAUGAAGAAGGCCUUCGGGUUGUAAAGUACUUUCAGCGGGGAGGCGUUACCCGCAGAAGAAGCACCGGCUAACUCCGUGCCAGCAGCCGCGGUAAUUC
rnacentral:rRNA from 1 species